CCUACGGGUGGCAGCAGUGGGGAAUAUUGGACAAUGGGGGGAACCCUGAUCCAGCCAUGCCGCGUGUGUGAAGAAGGCCCUCGGGUUGUAAAGCACUUUCAGUGAGGAAGAACGCCUGGUGGUUAAUACCCAUCAGGAAAGACAUCACUCACAGAAGAAGCACCGGCUAACUCCGUGCCAGCAGCCGCGGUAAUACGGAGGGUGCGAGCGUUAAUCGGAAUUACUGGGCGUAAAGCGCGCGUAGGUGGCUUGAUAAGCCGGUUGUGAAAGCCCCGGGCUCAACCUGGGAACGGCAUCCGGAACUGUCAAGCUAGAGUGCAGGAGAGGAAGGUAGAAUUCCCGGUGUAGCGGUGAAAUGCGUAGAGAUCGGGAGGAAUACCAGUGGCGAAGGCGGCCUUCUGGACUGACACUGACACCGAGGUGCGAAAGCGUGGGUAGCAAACAGGAUUAGAUACCCGUGUAGUC
rnacentral:rRNA from 1 species